GACGUAGGGCGCGAGCGUUGUCCGGAUUUAUUGGGCGUAAAGAGCUCGUAGGCGGCUUGUCGCGUCGACUGUGAAAUCCCGCGGCUCAACUGCGGGUCUGCAGUCGAUACGGGCAGGCUAGAGUUCGGUAGGGACUGGAAUUCCUGGUGUAGCGGUGAAAUGCGCAGAUAUCAGGAGGAACACCGGUGGCGAAGGCGGGUCUCUGGGCCGAUACUGACGCUGAGGAGCGAAAGCGUGGGAGCGAACGGG
rnacentral:rRNA from 1 species